rnacentral:tRNA from 1 species
GGAAGGGUGGCAGAGAGGCCUAUUGCGGCGGUUUGAUAAACCGUUAAUCCUUCGGGAUUCAGGGGUUCGAAUCCCCUUCCUUGAACA